rnacentral:rRNA from 1 species
UGUAGCUUUGCAUUGGACUUUGAACCAAUCUGUGUAGGAUAGGUGGGAGGCUUUGAAGCGGGGACGCCAGUUCCCGUGGAGCCAUCCUUGAAAUACCACCCUGGUUUGUUUGAGGUUCUAACCUUGGUCCGUAAUCCGGAUCGGGGACAGUGCAUGGUAGGCAGUUUGACUGGGGCGGUCUCCUCCUAAAGUGUAACGGAG